AAAUUGAGUUUUUCACAACAUUGCCAAGGAACAUCAUUUGUGAAUUCCCAGUAGAGUGCGAAUAAAGCAGAUGUCUACUUCAUUGAAGGCUCUGCGUUCUUUGCUCUACCAAAGAAAACCUCAAAUGUCAUGUUUAUCGAAUGAAAUUAUUAAGGGAAAAUUCCUUGGUAGUAUACUAACAGUAGACAACAGUCUUGCCACUCCGUGGAUUAGAAGAAGAAGAUUCAGCAAAGGGCGCUACUAGGAGCUUUCGUCCCCAAAUCUGGAUUUGAUAACAUUAUCCGCUAUGUACUCUUGCAACAAACAUGUAGGGUAGGAUCAACAUGACAUUAAAUCAAUAAAGUUUACCGUGCUUGAAUACCGUAAUAAA